rnacentral:rRNA from 1 species
CCCAGACAGCCAGGAUGUUGGCUUAGAAGCAGCCAUCAUUUAAAGAAAGCGUAAUAGCUCACUGGUCGAGUCGGCCUGCGCGGAAGAUGUAACGGGGCUAAACCAUGCACCGAAGCUGCGGCAGCGACACUCAGGUGUUGUUGGGUAGGGGAGCGUUCUGUAAGCCUGUGAAGGUGUGUCGUGAGGCAUGCUGGAGGUAUCAGAAGUGCGAAUGCUGACAUAAGUAACGAUAAAGCGGGUGAAAAGCCCGCUCGCCGGAAGACCAAGGGUUCCUGUCCAACGUUAAUCGGGGCAGGGUGAGUCGACCCCUAAGGCGAGGCCGAAAGGCGUAGUCGAUGGGAAAC